UACGGGAGGCAGCAGUGGGGAAUAUUGCACAAUGGGCGAAAGCCUGAUGCAGCUAUGCCGCGUGUAUGAAGAAGGCCUUAGGGUUGUAAAGUACUUUCAUCGGGGAGGAAAAAACAAAACUAAUAAUUUUAUUUCUUGACGUUACCCGAAAAAGAAGCACCGGCUAACUCCGUGCCAGCAGCCGCGGUAAUACGGAGGGUGCUAGCGUUAAUCAGAAUUACUGGGCGUAAAGAGCACGUAGGUGGUUUUUUUAAGUCAGAUGUGAAAUCCCUGGGCUUAACCUAGGAACUGCAUUUUGAAACUGAAAUACUAGAGUAUCGUAGAGGGAGGUAGAAUUCUAGGUGUAGCGGUGAAAUGCGUAGAUAUCUGGAGGAAUACCUGUGGCGAAAGCGGCCUCCUAAACGAAUACUGACACUGAGGUGCGAAAAGCGUGGGGAGCGAAAACAGGGAUUAGAUACC
rnacentral:rRNA from 1 species